CAGUAGCCACGGGAAUACGGAGGGUGCAAGCGUUAAUCGGAAUUACUGGGCGUAAAGCGCACGCAGGCGGUCUGACAAGUCAGAUGUGAAAUCCCCGGGCUUAACCUGGGAACUGCAUUUGAAACUGUCAGGCUGGAGUCUUGUAGAGGGGGGUGGAAUUCCAGGUGUAGCGGUGAAAUGCGUAGAGAUCUGGAGGAAUACCGGUGGCGAAGGCGGCCCCCUGGACAAAGACUGACGCUCAGGUGCGAAAGCGUGGGGAGCAAACAGGAUUAGAGAUCCGCGUAGUCCCUGUCUCUUAUAC
rnacentral:rRNA from 1 species